rnacentral:tRNA from 1 species
GCCUUUGUAGUAUAAUAAAUACACUGGUCUUGUAAACCAGAAAUGGAGAAUCACAUUCUCCCUAAGACA